ACAAAAGGGACCAGAGGAAUCCUUCACUGCUGAACCUGGGAGCCAUGGUUGGGAUGGUCUUGGACAAAGUUGUGGUCAUCAUCCCCCUGUAUGGAUGGAUGAUCUUCCUGUGGUGGAAGCAAAGGCCAGCAGAGUAAAGCCUCAAGCCUAGUAAGACUCCCCAGUGGUAGGAUCUCUCACCAGGGAGGUAAGUAUACAUCAAAGUAGUUGUUGGUGAUUACACACCCUGCAUCCCACAGCCUUCCAUGUCUUCUCGCUGGGAGUCAGAGCUAAUGGCUGCAGGAUUCUCCUGUGAAAAUCAUUCUUGGAUAACCCCCACUUCUGCCAUAGGGGCUCAGAUACCCUUUCCUUGGAACCAAGGUCCUCCCGUGUGUCUCUGGGCCUGAGAGCCUGACUGUGCUGUUCUCUGCUCAUGGAGUUAUUGACACUUUUAAUAAAUAUCUUACUCCCA
rnacentral:lncRNA from 1 species